rnacentral:misc_RNA from 1 species
GAGAGGAAGUCACUUCCUAAUGCAACUAUUAUGAUUCACCAGCCAUCAGGUGGGUACAGUGGGCAGGCGAAGGACAUGACCAUUCACACCAAGCAGAUAGUUCGAGUUUGGGAUUCACUCAAUCAAUUAUACUCAAAGCAUACAGGGCAAUCAAUAGAUGUAAUUCAGAAGAAUAUGGAUAGAGAUUAUUUUAUGACCCCAGAAGAGGCAAAGGACUUUGGAAUUAUUGAUGAAGUGAUUGAUCAAAGGCCAAUGGCGCUUGUGACUGAUGCUGUUGGUGAUGAAGGUAAACAAAAGGAUUCCAAAUAGAAUUAGAGGGUGAGAUCCUAGUGGGAAAGUUUCCCUGUUUUGAAUUUUGCAUCGACUUUUCUUGAUCAAUCUAUCUGAUUACUAAAUAUCUGGAUUUUGUUGAUUACCAGACAUUAUGUCUGGUUGUUUAUGGGAUAUCAUGUUAUUUAUUUCCUUGCGGAAUUAAUAUUUCAUAGGGCUUGUUAUGCAUUUGGUGACUCGUCGUAUCGACUAUACCCAUUCAUCUUGCAUGGAAAUAUUAUGUAAGUCAUUAUGAAAUCAUUUCAUAUAUUCAUACAACUUUCUUUUUCUUUUGCAAAAAAAAAA